rnacentral:rRNA from 1 species
CGAUCCCUUCGGGAAGGCGUCGAGUGGCGGACGGGUGAGUAAUACUUAGGAAUCUGCCCAUUAGCGGGGGACAACUCGGGGAAACUCGAGCUAAUACCGCAUACGCCCUACGGGGGAAAGCGGAGGACCUUUCGGGGCUUCGCACUAAUGGAUGAGCCUAAGCCGGAUUAGCUAGUUGGUAGGGUAAAAGCCUACCAAGGCAACGAUCCGUAGCUGGUUUGAGAGGACGAUCAGCCACACUGGGACUGAGACACGGCCCAGACUCCUACGGGAGGCAGCAGUGGGGAAUAUUGAACAAUGGGGGCAACCCUGAUUCAGCAAUGCCGCGUGUGUGAAGAAGGCCUGCGGGUUGUAAAGCACUUUCAGUAGAGAAGAAAAGCCUACGGUUAAUACCCCUUGACGGUACCAUAUGAAUAAGCACCGGCUAACUCCGUGCCAGCAGCCGCGGUAAUACGGAGGGUGCAAGCGUUGUCCGGAUUCACUGGGUGUAAAGGGUGUGCAGGCGGGGCGAUAAGUCAGAGGUGAAAUCCCACGGCUCAACCGUGGAAUGGCCUUUGAAACUGCCGUUCUUGAGUCUCGGAGAGGUCGCUGGAAUUCGUGGUGUAGCGGUGAAAUGCGUAGAUAUCACGAGGAACACCAGAGGCGUAGGCGAGCGACUGGACGAGAACUGACGCUGAGGCACGAAAGCGUGGGGAGCAAACAGGAUUAGAUACCCUGGUAGUCCACGCCGUAAACGAUGGAUGCUCGGUGUUGGCUCGUCAACCGUCAGCGCCUAAGCUAACGCGUUAAGCAUCUCACCUGGGGAGUACGAUCGCAAGGUUGAAACUCAAAGGAAUUGACGGGGGCCCGCACAAGCGGUGGAGCAUGUGGCUUAAUUCGAUGCAACGCGAAGAACCUUACCCAGGCUCGAACACUACCGGACGGUCGCCCGGAAAAGGGGUCUUCUUCGGACUGGUAGUGAGGUGCUGCAUGGCUGUCGUCAGUUCGUGUCGUGAGAUGUUGGGUUAAGUCCCGCAACGAACGCAACCCCUAUCGCUAGUUACCAGCGGGUUAUGCCGGGGACUCUAGCGAGACUGCCUGCGCAAGCAGUGAGGAAGGUGGGGACGACGUCAAGUCAUCAUGGCCCUUACGCCUGGGGCUGCACACGUGCUACAAUGGACGGUACAGAGGGCAGCUACUCUGCGAAGAGAAGCGAAUCCCAAAAGCCAGUCCCAGUUCGGAU